rnacentral:rRNA from 1 species
CCUACGGGCGGCAGCAGUGGGGGAUAUUGCACAAUGGGGGAAACCCUGAUGCAGCGACGCCGCGUGUGGGAAGACGGUCCUCUGGAUUGUAAACCACUGUCCCCAGGGAGGAAGAUGACGGUACCUGGGGAGGAAGCUCCGGCUAACUACGGGCCAGCAGCCGCGGUAAUACGUAGGGAGCGAGCGUUGUCCGGAAUUACUGGGGGAAAAGGGAGCGGAGGCGGGGGUGCAAGUUGGGUGUAAAAACUACCGGCUCAACUGGUAGCCGCACUCAAAACUGCCGCUCUUGAGUGAAGUAGAGGGAGGCGGAAUUCCUGGUGUAGCGGUGAAAUGCGUAGAUAUUAGGAGGAACACCAGGGGCGAAGGCGGCCCGCUGGGCUUUUACUGACGCUGAGGCUCGAAAGUGUGGGGAGCAAACAGGAUUAGAUACCCGAGUAGUC